CUUCGGGUAACCAAAACCGGCGCACGGGUGCGUAACGCGUAUACAAUCUGCCUUUCACAUAGGGAUAGCCCGAAGAAAUUUGGAUUAAUACCUAAUGGUAUAUAGGAGCGGCAUCGUUUUUAUAUUAAAGCUACGGUGGUGAAAGAUGAGUAUGCGUUCUAUUAGCUAGUUGGAGAGGUAUCGGCUCCCCAAGGCGACGAUAGAUAGGGGUUCUGAGAGGGAUGUCCCCCACACUGGUACUGAGAUACGGACCAGACUCCUACGGGAGGCAGCUGUGAGGAAUAUUGGACAAUGGUCGGAAGACUGAUCCAGCCAUGCCGCGUGCAGGAUGAAGGUCCUAUGGAUUGUAAACUGCUUUUGUAAGGGAAGAAUAAGGAGUACGUGUACUUUGAUGACGGUACCUACGAAUAAGCAUCGGCUAACUCCGUGCCAGCAGCCGCGGUAAUACGGAGGAUGCGUGCGUUAUCCGGAAUCAUUGGGUUUAAAGGGUCCGUAGGCGGGCUGAUAAGUCAGAGGUGAAAGCGCUUAGCUCAACUAAGCAACUGCCUUUGAAACUGUCAGUCUUGAAUGAUUGUGAAGUAGUUGGAAUGUGUAGUGUAGCGGUGAAAUGCUUAGAUAUUACACGGAACACCGAUAGCGAAGGCAUAUUACUAACAAUUUAUUGACGCUGAUGGACGAAAGCGUGGGGAGCGAACAGGAUUAGAUACCCUGGUAGUCCACGCUGUAAACGAUGGAUACUAGCUGUUUGGAGCAAUCUGAGUGGCUAAGCGAAAGUGAUAAGUAUCCCACUGGGGAG
rnacentral:rRNA from 1 species